rnacentral:rRNA from 1 species
UACAGAGGUCUCAAGCGUUGUUCGGAUUCAUUGGGCGUAAAUGGUGUGUAGGUGGCGCGCUAAGUCGGGUGUGAAAUUUCGGAGCUUAACUCCGAAACUGCAUUCGAUACUGGCGUGCUUGAGGACUGGAGAGGAGACUGGAAUUCAUGGUGUAGCAGUGAAAUGCGUAGAGAUCAUGAGGAAGACCAGUGGCGAAGGCGGGUCUCUGGACAGUUCCUGACACUGAGGCACGAAGGCCAGGGGAGCAAACGGG